ACGGGCGCGGGGGUGAGUGCCAGGCGCCUCUGCUCGCUGCUUCCGGGCGUCACCCGCUGCUUCCGGUCGGGUGCGCUGAGCGCGCUCCUCCGCCGCCCCUCCGGCCCUGCCUUGCUGCGCCCCUGCGGACUGAGGCUUGAGCCCAGGCAGCCUCGACUCCUUCAGUGCGUGAGUCCCGACGGUGAGCAGGUGACUCCGACGGGGAGUGUGCGGUAAUUCAGAGCCGUAGCGUGCCAUAAUUGAAAGCAGCCGUUUCUGAGGCCGAACGCGAAGGGGAUGUGAGAAGUGUGUGCGGGACACAGUUUGGGUGCCGCUUAGGACGCCUUGGCGGGAGCAGCGGUCGGUGUCCGGCUGGGUUUGAGGCCCUGCCGCGGGCCUUGAAGGAACGGGGAGCCGGCCGGCCGAGGAAGCGCGGAAGCGCGGGUGUGGAGGCCAAGGCGCUGGAAAUCGCUUUCCUUCACGCCUGCCGCCCGAGCCCCGCCCGGGAGCCGCCCGAGCCCCGACCAGGACCGCCUGGAACCUGCUAUGUGCCAGGCACACAACUUCACGACGCGCUCGCCUUGUCCUCUCCAGAUGGAGAAACUGAGGCACGCAGCGGCGCGUGACUUGUCCAGAGGGACACGGGCGAAGGAGAGCAGCAGCUCCUCUGCUUGGAAAGUGCUGGGACGAGUCCGUCGCACCUUUGCGGGGACCACUGUGGGUGUCUCAGGGAGAAGGUUUCAGCCUCUCAGGAGCUCAGGUGUACAUGCGAGGAGCUCUUUUGACCUUACACCAAUGACUAAAGUCUACACAAAAGUGUUAUGCUCAGGUGAGUCACCCCAUUUUCCAGGCUGCUUUGCUGUGUGCUGUGAACGUGUGCUGGCGGGCAUGGGGCAGUGACUGGCACUGUGUCCUAGAGAACUGUGACGUGGAUUUUGUGUGCUCCGUGCCUGCUAGGAACCGAGGCGCUGCUGCUGUCUCCAGCCAGUGACAACGGGCUCAUUGUGUCUGUCUUUUGGUGUGGGGUGUCCCAUGUCGGGUCUCCUCGCUGCAGACUCUGCAGCACUCUGCAGCCCCUUCUGUGGAGAUUCUGUGGACAGUCGCCUUCAGUCAGAGGACAAGCAGCUCCUCAUUCAUUUGCAGCCUCCUCGGUUUUUUUCCUUCAGUCUAAAAUCAGAUCGCCGUUGUAGAAGUUGGGCUAAAAUAAAACCAAUCAGGUUCUGAGACAUGAAAUUGUGAAUUAAUUCCACAUCAGGGUAACUUACUUUCUUUAUGCUUAUUAACUUGUGUGUUUCAGGAGCAAAAUAUACAAGUAGAAUUCAUGUGUUUGAGCCAGGCUAAACUAGAUUAUGUCUUUUAAUUUCUCUGCAUGGGUUCCAUAAUUCUUGUGUGUGUGUGUGUGUGUGUGUGUGUGUGUGUAAGGAAUUUUGUAUUUUUGUAACUGUUUACAUGGACCUUUACCUUAAAGUAGGAUAGGGUGCACGUUAUAAAGCAGAAGAACUGAUGCCCUUUGUAAAUGAAGGUGGAGCUGCCACAUUGCUGCAAUCCUCUUUGCACUUGGUUUUAAGAGUGAAACACACGUUUUUACCACGUUAAAUAAGGACUACGUUUACAUUGUGAGCCGGGAGGUUCCAGCUGAGAAGCGGGCUCAUUACCUCAGGCCAAGGGCUGCUGAAAACAGCAUCUUGAAAGCACCGCGCUAUUCGUGUGCAGAGAGGACUGGGAGGCAGGCAGGCUGCGGUG
rnacentral:lncRNA from 1 species